UGGCAUGGGGGGACAACAUGUGGAAACGCAUGCUAAUACCGCAUGCGACCUAAGGGUGAAAAGCGGGGGACCUUCGGGCCUCGCGCUAUCGGAUGAGCCUGCGUUGGAUUAGCUAGUUGGUGGGGUAAAGGCUCACCAAGGCGACGAUCCAUAGCUGGUCUGAGAGGAUGAUCAGCCACACUGGGACUGAGACACGGCCCAG
rnacentral:rRNA from 1 species